GAGAGCUUGCUCUCUGAUUCAUCGGCGGACGGGUGAGUAAUGCCUAGGAAUCUGCCUGGUAGUGGGGGACAACGUCUCGAAAGGGACGCUAAUACCGCAUACGUCCUACGGGAGAAAGCAGGGGACCUUCGGGCCUUGCGCUAUCAGAUGAGCCUAGGUCGGAUUAUCUAGUUGGUGAGGUAAUGGGUCACCACGGCGACGAUCCGUAACUGGUCUGAGAGGAUGAUCAGUCACACUGGAACUGAGACACGGUCCAGACUCCUACGGGAGGCAGCAGUGGGGAAUAUUGGACAAUGGGCGAGAGCCUGAUCCAGCCAUGCCGCGUGUGUGAAGAAGGUCUUCGGAUUGUAAAGCACUUUCUGUUGGGAGGAAAGGCAUUAACCUAAUACGUUGAUGUUUUGACGUUACCGACAGAAUAAGCACCGGCUAACUCUGUGCCAGCAGCCGCGGUAAUACAGAGGGUGCAAGCGUUAAUCGGAAUUACUGGGCGUAAAGCGCGCGUAGGUGGUUUGUUAAGUUGAAUGUGAAAUCCCCGGGCUCAACCUGGGAACUGCAUCCACAACUGGCAAGCUAGAGUAGGGCAGAGGGUGGGGGAAUUUCCUGUGUAGCGGUGAAAAUG
rnacentral:rRNA from 1 species